AAGAUGGCGGCGCCCAGCGAGGGGCUAGCGUUUGUUGCGGAGGUUGAAAAUAAUUGGGGCGCGGUUGUUCGCUCCCCUGAAGGGACCCCCCAGAAAAUACGGCAGCUCAUAGAUGAGGGGAUUGCUCCGGAAGAGGGAGGCGCGGACGCAAAGGAUGCAUCUGCUACAUUCCAUUCAGUUAAUGGAUCACCCCAGGCAGAACAACCUCCAUUGGAAUCUACAAGCAAAGAAGCCUUCUUUAACCGAGUGGAAACAUUUACUUCUUUGAAAUGGGCAGGUAAGCCCCCUGAGCUGUCUCCACUUGUCUGUGCAAAAUAUGGCUGGGUCACAGUUGAAUGUGAUAUGCUCAAGUGCUCCAGCUGUCAGGCUUUUCUCUGUGCCAGUUUACAACCAGCUUUUGACUUUGACAGAUAUAAGGAACGAUGUGCUGAGCUGAAGAAAGCCUUGUGUGCUGCCCAUGAGAAGUUCUGUUUCUGGCCGGACAGCCCCUCACCAGAUCGAUUUGGGAUGUUGCCAUUGGAUGAGACUGCUGUUCUUCUUAGUGAAUUCCUAGACCGUUUUCAAAGCCUUUGUCACUUGGACCUCCAGCUUCCUUCCCUGAGGCCAGAGGACUUAAAAACUAUGUGCUUGACAGAGGACAAGAUUAGUCUUCUCCUACACCUGUUUGAAGAUGGACUUGAUCACCGAACUGAUGAGAGAAAAACUACAACCAAAUUAGGCUCAGACAUCCAAGUCCAUGUCACUGCCUGUAUUCUCUCUCUGUGUGGCUGGGCAUGUAGUUCUUCCUUGGAGCCAAUGCAGCUCUCCCUGAUAACAUGUUCACAGUGUAUGAGGAAAGUGGGGCUCUGGGGCUUCCAGCAGAUUGAGUCAUCCAUGGCCGAUCUGGAUGCACCCUUUGGCCUGACCGGCUCCCCCAUCUCAGGCCCUGAUGGGCGGCCAGAGCGCUUCCCUCUGGUGCCUGAAUCUCCUCGGAGAAUGAUGACCCGUAGCCAGGAUGCCACGUUUUCCCCAGGCUCAGAGCAGGCUGAAAAGAGCCCGGGUCUCAUUGUCUCCCGAACUCGGAGCUGGGACUGUUCCAGUCCUACUGACCGUCCUGAACCAGAGGCUGCUAGCCCCACCACCAGAACUCGCCCAGUGACCCGAAGCAUGGGAACAGGAGACACUUCUAGCCUGGAAGUGCCAUCUAGCCCUCUCCGGAGAGCCAAACGAGCUCGCCUCUGCUCUUCUAGCAGUUCAGACACAUCUUCUCGAGGCUUCUUUGAUCCUCUCUCUCAGCAUAGAGACUGGUGCCCUUGGGUGAAUAUCACACUUGGCAAGGAAACUAGGGAGAAUGGUGGAACUGAGUUGGAUGUCAGCACGCCAGCAGAGCCGGGCUGGAAGGCAGUGCUGAAUGUUCUCUUGGCCCACAAACAGUCUAACCAGCCAACUGAAACAGACUCCAUGAGUCUCUCUGAGAAGUCAAGGAAAGUAUUCCGAAUAUUCCGGCAGUGGGAAUCUUUAUGCUAAUGUUGAAGAUACUCUGUCCCUUUCCUGGAGAGAACAGAAUGAGAACGACUUUUUGAAAAAUAAAACCCCCCCCCCGACUUCCGUUGGGGGAGAACAAAUGCUGCCUCCCGGGUUCCUUCAGGGAAGCUCCCAGCCAUCUGGCUGUGAAAGAUCACCUCCACAGCUAACUGCCAAGGUACCACUGGCUCUGCACCAAGCCCAGCUUUAGAGUCAUCAGCAAGCAUCUUGAACAACAAGACACAAACCAAGAUAACCACAUUCCUGCUAGUCCCCCUGGGCCUUGGCUUUGGGCCUGGAGUGCCCACCUUCAAGAGGUGAUGGUAUAAUGACUACAGGAAUGCUAAUUAUAGUCAUCACCCUGAUGGGUUGAGAAUACAGGCUUGUUUGUCCAGCACAGUUUACCUGAGUCAUCCUGCCUGUAGUCUGCAGCCACCUGGGCCUGGAGCUGGACCAGCAGCCUGCCAGAAGUCUGGAACUCCUUCUGCACAAUGAACCUGGCUAGUGCCAGCAAGUCCUACUUGUUCUCAGAAAGUGAGUGGGGGCAGUUUGGCUCCAUGGACAUAGCUCCAAACUGAGUGGAGAGCCUGUCAGGCCAAAGGCCCAUUCUGAGGUGAGCAGAAUGAGAGCUGAGGCCUCAGAAUCUUUGGAAAAGUCCCUUCCCCAGAUCAGAGAUGAAGAUAAGAAGUAGAGAAGGGACAAGGCAGCAACUUGCUCCUCUCCUCCAUCCAACCCCACCUCCCUCCCCCAUGCCACCCUACUGGUCCCUGCAUUAUCCUGUCACACAGUGCAUCCCAAGCCCAAGUACUCCCCAGGCCAGCCCCAUGGGUCAGUAGUGAUCUGGGCUCAAGUCCUACUAACUCAACCUGGGAUUUUUCCAGAGUAAAAUGAGGAAGAAAAUAGGUGCUAUAUUUCACAGUA